rnacentral:rRNA from 1 species
GACGAACGCUGGCGGCGUGCUUAACACAUGCAAGUCGAACGGAAAGGCCCUGCUUGCAGGGUAUUCGAGUGGCGAACGGGUGAGUAACACGUGGGUGAUCUGCCCUGCACUUCGGGAUAAGCCUGGGAAACUGGGUCUAAUACCGGAUAGGAGCCAUUUUUAGUGUGAUGGUUGGAAAGUUUUUUCGGUGUGGGAUGAGCUCGCGCCCUAUCAGCUUGUUGGUGGGGUAAUGGCCUACCAAGGCGGCGACGGGUAGCCGGCCUGGGAGGGUGGCCGGCCACAUUGGGCUUGAGAUACGCCCAGGACCCCUACGGGGGCAAGCGGUGGGAAUAAUUGCACAAGGGGGGGAGGCCUGUGGCAGGAACGCGGCGUGGGGAAUACCGGCCUUCGGUUGGUAAAUCCUUUCGCUAGGGACGAAGCUUUUUGUGACGGUACCUAGAUAAGAAGCACCGGCUAACUACGUG